AUUGAACGCUGGCGGCAGGCCUAACACAUGCAAGUCGAGCGAGCGGCGGACGGGUGAGUAAUGCCUGGGAAUUGCCCAGUCGAGGGGGAUAACAGGUGGAAACGACUGCUAAUACCGCAUACGAUUGGAUUGCCCAGGUGGGAUUAGCUAGUGGGUGAGGUAGUGGCUCACCAAGGCGACGAUCCCUAGCUGGUCUGAGAGGAUGACCAGCCACACGGGAACGGAGACACGGCCCAGACGCCUACGGGAGGCAGAGUUGGGGAAUAUUGCACAAUGGGGGAAACCCUGAUGCAGCCAUGCCGCGUGUGUGAAGAGGGCCUUCGGGUUGUAAAGUACUUUCAGCGAGGAGGCGUUACUCGCAGAAGAAGCACCGGCUAACUCCGUGCCAGCCGCCGCGGUAAUAC
rnacentral:rRNA from 1 species